UGGGGAAUUUUGGACAACGAGCGCAACGCCGCGUGAGUGAUGAAGGCUUUCGGGUCGUAAAACUCUGUUGUUAGGGAAGAACAAGUGCUAGUUGAAUAAGCUGGCACCUUGACGGUACCUAACCAGAAAGCCACGGCUAACUACGUGCCAGCAGCCGCGGUAAUACGUAGGUGGCAAGCGUUAUCCGGAAUUAUUGGGCGUAAAGCGCGCGCAGGUGGUUUCUUAAGUCUGAUGUGAAAGCCCACGGCUCAACCGUGGAGGGUCAUUGGAAACUGGGAGACUUGAGUGCAGAAGAGGAAAGUGGAAUUCCAUGUGUAGCGGUGAAAUGCGUAGAGAUAUGGAGGAACACCAGUGGCGAAGGCGACUUUCUGGUCUGUAACUGACA
rnacentral:rRNA from 1 species